GGGUUUUCUGCUCUUGCUUGGAGUUUUCUGAGCUUGCUCCUGUAGCUUCUCCUGCUCCUGUGGGCUGCUGUCCUGUUCUGGGAAGUGAGCGACACUGCACGGGGAUGGAGUUGUGUGAAAGGAGGGAUUUAAAGCAGAGGUGGCUUGGUAAAUGGGGGAAGAGGUUUUUGGCAGUGGGAAAACUGGAAUGAAAUACCUACCUCCAGAAGAGCAAGCAGAGCUACAGGCAGUCUGCAGAGGAGUCACCCCUCUGAGCAGAGCUUUUGCUUAUGGCUGGACAUAGAGAAUCUGGACUUGCUGGGUGAGCUGGAUGGAAUGAAAACAGCUCCUUACAAGCAAAAAGGUUCCAAUUCUGCCACAAAUGGGUGUCAACAAGAAAAUUGUUCUUCCACCAAAGCUUUUGGAACUAAAACAGUCUUUUCAACUGUUGUUCUGAGCAAGAGAGAGAGAAUUUCUGUG